rnacentral:misc_RNA from 1 species
GUUUCGCUUGUGGUUUUAGCAUAGAGGACACAAUUCAUACCCUACGGGAUUGCCAUGUUGCCAAACAUAUUUGGAUGGGGCUAGUUAAUCCUUCGCUCUGGCCUUCAUUUUUUUAGGCCAACAUGAAGGAGUGGUUGUUAAAUUUUAUGAAUAUAGCGAUUACUUUAUUUUACAAAUAAACUCGGAAAUAAUUAAGCGAGCCCUUAGGGGACAAGCGUGAUAAGCCUCGCCAAACUCCCUCUACCAGUGGCUCCUGUGAAACCCAACAGCCAACCUUGGCGCCAAAACCUUCCUCCAUCUUCGACGUACUUUAACCACCAUAACAGCCGCUUCCACUCCCUCAAGGACCGCCUCAUCCGCCACGUCGAUGCCGGCCAGCUCCGCGAAGCAAUCUCAAUCCUCGAUAUCAUGUCCCAAGA